UAGAUACAAGUCGGAAUUAGGGUGAGUUUAGGGCCCAAGAUCCAAGUGAUGACUAGUAUGAGAUACCCGUAUAUAACAACGGGUCGGGUAUGGGUAAUACGCGAGGUACCCAUAAUUUAUUUUUGAAAAAUCAAACCAGGUUUGAGCAUCGCUGCGAGCUGCGACCAUCUUCGUAAGUUCCACCUUGUCUCCUCUCUCUCCAAUUCUUCUAUCUCAACCUCGCCGGAGAUCCGGUUCUCCGGCAUCUUUCUCGGGUCGUGGAUCCAUGAAUUGGGUUCAACGUAAGAUCUAUCUUUACAAUGUCACUUUUGGGCUCUAUAUGUUGGAUUGGUGGGAGCGUUAUCUCUUCAAUACUUUGGUCCUGGUAUUGAUGUGGUUCAUCUUUUACAACGGCUCGCGGUAUUUAACAGAGUUUUGCAAGAGGCAGCUAUGGUGAGGACUGCAAAAAACAUCAACCUGUAAUGUUCAAAUUUGUGAAGUGAUUGAGGAUUUGAAUGCAGCUGCAGCUUUUUUUUUUUAUUUUUUUUUUAU